UCGGCUACGGUUUUAGCGUCGGCUAAUUUUGGAACGCUAUUCCUGUAACCCUCCCGGAGCACAGAAAUAACCGGUUCCUCCUCCGUGUUUACAUUUUAUUUUGUUAGCGUAAUGUUUUCGUUUUUUUUUUCGUUAGUGAUUAAGCAUUGCGCUGUAAUUAUAUUUAAUGCACUUCUCCAUUGCCAGGGCAGGAAUCCAAGCGUUUCCAGAAGGCCGAGCUACUAAACAAGCCCUUGGUCAUAAUUAUUUCAGGACUUCUGGGUGGACAGUACAAUAAUAACCAGACCGGGCACAGAACUGAUCGAUAUAUUGAUCUCUUUAAGAAUUGUCACCGCUGCUGAAUUCAUUUGGCGCUGUAUCAGCGCACGCUCGCUGAACAUGGGUUUGUGCCAUUUUAUAUCAGGAUGAGCAAACGUCAACAAAGCGGCUUUUCAUAUCUUCCCGAAGAGUCUGAUGUUCGCUCUGCCGUGUGAUUCAUGUACCUCCAUGUCCUCCGGAGAAUCGUACGUAUGAGUACAAGUGUACAGAGGGAAAGUCGGCAGCGCAGUUUAUCUUUUAUCGGCGGUGUCAGAUGAGAGCCAUGCUGACAGCUCGCCACCCAAGGCCCGUGAACAUUUAAUCUUUCCGAACAGUAAAUGUCCAAAGAUCUCGCCUUCGAAUAUUUCAGCCCCCUCAGCGACACGCGUUUUUGUUUCGCCAUCUGAAGAUUUUAUUCGAACGUACAUGUGAGCGUGCGUAGCGGGGACGACUUACAGGUAAAGCCUCAUCCGUUGUGUCAGGAGACAAAAAUGAGAGCGACAGAAACGUUUACAGAUGAGGGAACGGAGUGUCACUACUUGGGUCGUACAAAUUGGACCAAAUAAUUUCCGGUCCAUCUAUCUAUAGCAGUGGGUCUAA